GGAUUAGAUACCCUGGUAGUCCACGCCGUAAACGAUGUGUGCUAGUUGUUGGGGCCACAGGUCCCGGUGACGGAGCGAAAGUAUUAAGCACACCGCCUGGGGAGUACGGCCGCAAGGUUAAAACUCAAAGGAAUUGACGGGGACCCGCACAAGCGGUGGAGCAUGUUGUUUAAUUCGAAGCAACGCGAAGAACCUUACCCACUCUUGACAUCCUCCUUGGGACUUUCAGAGAUGAUUGUCUUCGGUUCGGCCGGGGGAGUGACAGGUGCUGCAUGGCUGUCGUCAGCUCGUGCCG
rnacentral:rRNA from 1 species